rnacentral:lncRNA from 1 species
GAAAAAACAGAGAAAAGCGCGUGCAAACUGUUCACCUGGCGACAGUGAUGCGGGUGACAGAAGCAACUGAGUGGGCAGCUUUUACAUCACACGCUGCUGAAUUUAGCUCCAGUCAUCUCGCUGUGACAUCCGACAUCCCUGCUGCCUCCCGCUGAGCCCCGGUCCUCGUUAUUGGCCAGUUUUGAGCCUUCCUGAUGAAGAGGAGGAUGAAGACUGACGCUCCGGUAAGUUAAAGCAAGCUGGACAUCAGCACUGACUGGCACUUAGAGACCAUACAUUCAUCUGUUCUUGGUUAACUGUCAUUUUAGAUCAUCUUUGAUCAGCAAAUGUUGGCUGCAAAUGUUUUCCUGAUCUACGACAAAUUGUCUUGUGUGAAUUGUGAAACCUUCAGUUCAGUUUGUUGCUGUUAAUGUCCACAACGCAGUUUCUAAAUGCCCGUCGGAAUGCGUGAUUGUGCUGCAUGAGGAGCUGUGUG